CGUCAUUGGCGGCCGGACUACACAUGCAAGUCGAGCGGAUGACGGGAGCUUGCUCCUUGAUUCAGCGGCGGACGGGUGAGUAAUGCCUAGGAAUCUGCCUGGUAGUGGGGGACAACGUUUCGAAAGGACGCUAAUACCGCAUACGUCCUACGGGAGAAAGCAGGGGACCUUCGGGCCUUGCGCUAUCAGAUGAGCCUAGGUCGGAUUAGCUAGUUGGUGGGGUAAUGGCUCACCAAGGCGACGAUCCGUAACUGUCUGAGAGGAUGAUCAGUCACACUGGAACUGAGACACGGUCCAGACUCCUACGGGAGGCAGCAGUGGGGAAUAUUGGACAAUGGGCGAAAGCCUGAUCCAGCCAUGCCGCGUGUGUGAAGAAGGUCUCGGAUUGUAAAGCACUUUAAGUUGGGAGGAAGGGCAUUAACCUAAUACGUUAGUGUUUUGACGUUACCGACAGAAUAAGCACCGGCUAACUCUGUGCCAGCAGCCGCGGUAAUACAGAGGGUGCAAGGUUAAUCGGAAUUACUGGGCGUAAAGCGCGCGUAGGUGGUUUGUUAAGUUGGAUGUGAAAGCCCCGGGCUCAACCUGGGAACUGCAUCCAAAACUGGCAAGCUAGAGUACGGUAGAGGGUGGUGGAAUUCCUGUGUAGCGGUGAAAUGCGUAGAUAUAGGAAGGAACACCAGUGGCGAAGGCGACCAUCUGGACUGAUACUGACACUGAGGUGCGAAAAGCGUGGGGAGCAAACAGGAUUAGAUACCCCUGGUAUCCACGCCGUAAACGAUGUCAACUAGCCGUUGGAAUCCCUGAGAUUUUAAUGGGCGUACCUACCGCAUUUAGUCUACCGCUUGGGGAAAUCCGCUCCGCUAGGUUCAAAACUCUAAU
rnacentral:rRNA from 1 species